rnacentral:rRNA from 1 species
CAGCAGCCGCGGUAAUACGUAGGGUGCAAGCGUUAAUCGGAAUUACUGGGCGUAAAGCGUGCGCAGGCGGUUUUGUAAGUCUGAUGUGAAAUCCCCGGGCUCAACCUGGGAACUGCAUUGGAGACUGCAAGGCUAGAGUGUGUCAGAGGGGGGUAGAAUUCCACGUGUAGCAGUGAAAUGCGUAGAGAUGUGGAGGAAUACCGAUGGCGAAGGCAGCCCCCUGGGAUAACACUGACGCUCAUGCACGAAAGCGUGGGGAGCAAACAGGAUUAGAUACCCUGGUAGUCCACGCCCUAAACGAUGUCUACUAGUUGUCGGGACUUAAUUGUCUUGGUAACGCAGCUAACGCGUGAAGUAGACCGCCUGGGGAGUACGGUCGCAAGAUUAAAACUCAAAUGAAUUGACGG